rnacentral:rRNA from 1 species
UACAGAGGGGGCAAGCGUUAUUCGGAAUUAUUGGGCGUAAAGGGCGCGUAGGCGGCCUGCUAAGUCGAACGUGAAAUCCCCGGGCUCAACCCGGGAACUGCGUCCGAUACUGGCAGGCUUGAAUUCGGGAGAGGGAUGCGGAAUUCCAGGUGUAGCGGUGAAAUGCGUAGAUAUCUGGAGGAACACCGGUGGCGAAGGCGGCAUCCUGGACCGAAAUUGACGCUGAGGCGCGAAAGCCAGGGGAGCAAACGGG